rnacentral:lncRNA from 1 species
GGCCCCAAGUCUCUGCGCGGCCAGCGAGAGGCCCAUAGUCGGAAACCCAGCCAGGCUCAGAGUUACACUAAGCUCGUCCCUGGAUACAUACCUGGAGGAACUCAGGAUAGGGGGCUCUGGACACAGGAUUGCAAAGCAGGCGACCAAACACUUAGGGAGAAACCUGAGGCACCAAAGGGUGGAGGCACCUUGCACACACUGCUCUGCGAGGGGAGAGACACGGCGGACCCGCACUGCCGCUACCCAGUGAUCGCGGCCCCGAUUUGAGGGGCUCACAGCCGGGAGCAGCCGGGCACAGGGCUGUUGAGACAAGACUGGAGUCUGAAGGAGAAAGGGACCCUGAAGUCACUCGGGCGGCAGCUUCCACUAAUGCUCCUGCCCGCGGUGAGCGGAGCUGGGUGAAGAGACUGCUUUGGAGAACCCUCCACAGGCAAACCGCAGCGCCACACUCUUUUGGGGACCAUCGCUCCCGGGCCCCAGAUUUGAAGUUUCAAGUCCCUCAAUCCCACCCUCAUUCUGGCCCUUUGAUCUCCAUCUUCCCGCUGACCCAGGAGCCCCUCCAGUCUUGCCGUGAAGAGCCGCCCAGCCUCACCCCCACGGCACCUGGCCGCGGGGCCGAGCCCGCCGCCCCGCCGCACUGCGCCUGCGCGGAGAGAGCCGCGGACACUCCCACAAGCCCCUGCGGCGCGCCCCCUCGGUCCGCCCGGUCGCCCCCGGGUCCGCUGGCCCAGCCGUCAGCCUGGCGUGUGGAAACGCCUCUUUCCGCCUUGCUGAGGGGAGAAAGACCACUUUUUAAUUUUGUUUCCUGGUCUGCGACAAUGGAAGUGCCCGCAGCCUCUCUCCUGCCGCUGUAGAAGCUCGGCCGUCCCGCGGAGCUCCUGGAGGGGCGGGCCGGGAUGACUUCUCCUCCCUCGCACGUCGGGGUCGGGCUCCUUUGGGGGUUGGGGACUGAGAGUGCGAAGAGGUAUCGGUGUCUCCCUCGUGGCCUGUCGCUCUCUGGGAUGUCACCGCGCUGGUUCCCACUGACGGCUGCACAGGCGCCUCUGGCGGGCAGGCGUUCUAAGGCAGGGUGGCGCGGCGCCGGUCUGGGCGGCCCUCCCUCCCGCACGGUCCUCUGAUGGGUGGCUCCACCCCAGUGUGACCUCUUCCACCCUCUGGGUCCACCCCUCCCCCAGAUAGUGUGCUUAAUGUGGUAGCCACUUGGCCGCCCCUCUCUGCCUUGCUGUCUCCAUACAGGCUUCCAGGAGCUUCUUGCAAGUAGCCCCAGUCUCUGUGGGGGGAAUCUCUUGGAAUCCUUACUUGAUUUUUGGAGAGAAACACCAGGGCACUCUCCCCCAGGGCUGAUUCAUGACGCUUGUGAUUCCCAUUCCGCCCCUCCAACCAAUCUUCUAGUUAUAUGAGGUUGAGGGGAUGGGUGGAGCAGGUCUGGAAAGAUGGUUGAGGAUGCAGAAGUCGGUUUGGUUACUUUUUACUAAGUCGUGGAAGUGGAGAAGUUGCCUGGCCCCCAAUUAUUUGUGGCUUUAAAAAAAAUAAAUAAUGUAGGGUAUUUGAUGCUCCUCACUUGUUGAUCCUAGUUUCCAUCCUGGGCUAAAGGAGAAAUCCUGCUUAAGAUCUGUUAGAGUUAGAGUUACAUCAUG